rnacentral:lncRNA from 1 species
CUUGUGCCACGGUGGCCCAAAUGUCAGUCAACCAGACAUGUCUUCUGAGAGGUAAGUUUUUGAAAAAUACUAGACUUUUCUCAAAUGUAUUUCUUUACAGGAAUAAAAAGAAAGCUAAUUUUGCAUGAGCAUGCAGGAAGUCUGCAGACAGACAUUCUACAUAGUCCCUUGGGGACUCAGUAGAAGUGGAAUCAAGACCAACCCAAGCCCAACAAGGCAGCUCCGCUGGUUAAUGCCUCCCAGAUCUGUCAUCUGUGAUAAAGAGCCUCGCUGUAGCUGAGGAGCUGGCCAAGAACCUUUCCCAGUUAGCCAAGUUCGUGAAGAAGUCACAUGUGGUGAAUAUAUUAUCAUCAGAAUGCGGAGCAAUGAAAUGUAAACAGAUAGGAAUCGUCACUAAAGCUCCAACUGCAGCCUCCGGGUGCCAUAGCUUUUGCACCAUCCAUUUGCACCAUCUCUGCAUUGCUCUCAAUCACUGCCACGAGUCUGGUGAUGCGCUAAGCUCGGGGCAGGAUCUCAAGGGCUUUGAGGAUGUCUGCAUCAUCUGUAUUGACCUGCUCCCCAGAUUAAUACCGAAGCACUGCAAUUUCUUGAGGAUUAUCCACCUAGGAGGAAAUGAUACGCUGGCCCAUCCAUAGUAGUCAAGGGAACCACCAUCUCAGAUGGUAGAAACCACUCAGAAGGAUCAACUGCUGCAGACGGGAAGAGGAGCAACCUCGUGAAUAAUUUCGUGACAGGAUAUUGCAGGAGGGACUUUGUCCAAAUGUGUGCAGGGUAGUUGGCUACAGCAACAAGGAUGACGAACACAGAUGAAUUGAUCAGGAUGUAACCAUUCAAAGUUGAGAGGAUUAGAGGACUUCUCCGAGGCGGCUCCAAUGGAUGCCAGCAGAGUUAAAGUGUCCAAUGGAGAGAAGAGAAGGCUUGGGAAAUCCAGAGUCCAUUCAUUCAUCGCCCUCCUCCUAGAACAACAAAAGCGAGCCCCAGUACUCAUCAGCAUGGACUCUGUGUGUAGUCAUCUCCCUUAGUUUCAGAGGUUCCUGCCUACAGCAAAACUUUAGAGGCUUAGAGUUUAACGGUCAUAGCUUAUUCACCUCCAACUGUGUCCUAGUUCAAGAGAAACACUUCACAUAUCUGUAGGGAGAAGAUAAUGAACCAAGGAUACAAGUUAAGCCUUAGCUAAGACCUGUUACUCAGGAAAAAGAGCUAAAACAAGCUGCUUAGAUCAGCACCAAUGUUAGGUAGAGAGAAAAAGAAACGCUGCAUAGAAAUCUUAAGGUUCACAUGUGCUCCAGGCUGGGUCAACAACUUCUAAUUUCCUUUGCCAACCAACCAUGUCUUUGACAGAAAUGAUCCUUCUACAUAGACCACAGAGGGAUCCAAUGGAGGUUUCUCUUCCUGAAUUUGGGGAUUCAGAAUCUGGACAAAUUCCUUUCCAUCAAAGUCCAGUACAAAAGUAGUACCAUGGCAGUCCCUGCAGGGACUUGCAUCACUUUCCCUAGAGAUAUCAAGAGAAUUUUUAGUGAUAAGAAUAUGGCACAAAAUGAGAAAUCCCAUUACUCUUAAGAGAAUCUCUUCCUUCUCAAAGGCACCUGAUUAAUACAUAUAGUACUAUCAGUAAGGCUGAGCAAAAGGAUACUGAUGUUCUGAGUGAUCUUAAAUCAUGUAAUAAUAACUUUAUUCGUAGUAUAGAACGGAAUAUUCCCUAUUAGUAAUCAGUUCCUUUGCCAGAUCCUCAUAGUAUCUUAGUCACUGUUUUAUUGUUAUGAAGAGAAACUUUGACCACAGCACCUCUUAGAAAAAAGGAAGCAUUUAAUCGGGACUUCCUUAUGGUUUCACAGUUUUACAUAAUUGUCAACAUGGCAGAGAACAUGGGGGCACGCAAACAGACAUGGUGCUGGAGAAGUAGCGGAGAAUAUACAGCAACAUAUAGAUACAAAAUAUAGAUACAUAUAGAUACAGAAUAUAGAUACAUAUAGCUACAUAUAGAUCUGCAGGCAGCAGGAAGAGACUGGGACAAGGCCAUACCUUCUAAGGCUUCUCAAGGAGUGUCACUUCCUGAUGACCAAGCAUUCAAGUGUAUGAGCUUAUGGGAGCCAUUCUUAUUCAAGCCACCACACAUAGCAAAGCUGAUAAUGUCAUUUUCUGAAUUAACCAGGCCAAGGCACACUUCUUAGCAACAUGGUUACCUGGUAACCAGAGAUUUUUCUCAUCCCAUGAGAGAUUUCAUUCAAGAACUGAUCUUCUAACAGUUUUGUCUCUCUUAAGAAUGCUACAGACAGGGUGGGGUGAGGCACAGUGCUGAAGCCCCUCAAGUUUCCCAGAGGGAUGAGUCCAUGAAAGACGAAAAUCAUGUGGUCACACUGAGCAUAGACUUCACAAGCAUCAUGCUAGGAUUCCAUUUUCUUUCUCAACACAAUGAUAAAUUCUUCUUCCAAUAAGCAGAAAAUCAUCCAAUGGGAAAAAAAAAUAAAACCAACUAACUUGCAGUCCUUUGGAACAGUUUCAUAGCUUACAGGAUGGCUUCAUAACCCUGGGGACACUCGUUUUGACAUGAAAACUUCCUUCAGAACAGGAAUUCUGAUCCAACAUGUGCUCAGACAUCAUUUCAGUCACUUGCAAAUGAACAAGAAAGCUCAUGUAAAUGAGGAGGCUCAACUCCCAGGCCUGGUGAGUGGGUAAGACAUUCCUCUGCUGGGUUUUGAAGGCUGUCUGAAACCAUCGGCUGACAUCCUUCUCUGUGUGCAUGUAUGCACUAUCUACGGGAAAUUCAGCUCCAACCGGUUGUCUCUACAGCUCCCUUAAUCUUCUCCUCCCUCCUCCUGGCAUUGGCAUGUGUCCCAGGACUGCAGCGAGGAGUGCUUACCAACAAAGGUGCUGGCAUCUGCAUUUGUUUCACAGCCACAAACCUAAUGGUUCCAUGAUUUUGGCGAGCAAAACUGUCAAAAUGCCUGAGCACAAGAGAUCACAAGAUGAGCCAAGGCAUAGUGUGCAUGCCUUCCUUCCCAGCACUCGGAAGGCAGAGGCAAGGGGAUCUCUGUGGGUUCAAGGCCAGCCUGAAUCACAAGGUGUACUGGGGAUUCUUUUUUAUUGUUUUCCUUUUGCUAUCUGGAAUAGUUUGAGAUUGUAUUUGAUCAGUGCAUUAAACAAC